AUUUUAAAUCAUUUUUUUUUUUUUUUAAAAAUUGAGAAUACUGCCAGUUGACAUGUCCAUAAUAUUUUGUUAGUGACAGAGGCUUGAUAGUAAAUGAUUCCACUUUCAUGUAUGUAUAUACAUUUUUUUUUUUUUCAUUUACAAAAAAAAAAUCCCCUCCACAUCUGAACAAUUUAUAAUGUUUAAUAUUGACUACAAUGAGGCCUUUGUUUGUUUUUUUUUAAAGCUUUUAUCCACUCAACCUGUGGUUCUGUUUCAUAUUUUGAACACAAUUAUUUCUCCCACUGCCCCAAUGUCUGGUCAAGUUGAAAUUGUACACAAUUAUUCAUUGUUAUGCAUAAAACAGUUCAAUAAGGAAAAAAAAA